AGCAAACAAAGAAGAUGGCACCACCAGAAAAGAAACAGGCCACCUUGAAUGACUUCUUUCUGGCCAUGCAGAAAAGGCCCCCUUCUAAGGAGACACCACCUAAGGCUUCUACAUCCCAGGCUGCUGCUGAAGAGGUUCCUGAUAUCCCCCUGGAUGCAUGCGAAGGAGAUGGUGAAAAAGCGCAAGGGCUGGGAAAAGGUCGAUCCCUUCACCCUGAUCCUGUCCUGGAUGAGCCUAAUCAGCCGACGAUUGUCUUCCCGGUGGAAGAUGGACGUCGGUUCCGGAAGGAGUGGUUCAAGCAGUUCCCGUUCCUCGAUUACCACGUCUCCUCAGAUUCUGUGACAUGUCACACUUGUCGCAUUGCGCUUUCCAAUGGUUU